UACGGAGGGAGCUAGCGUUGUUCGGAAUCACUGGGCGUAAAGCGCACGUAGGCGGAUGUGUCAGUCAGGGGUGAAAUCCCGGGGCUCAACCUCGGAACUGCCUUUGAUACAGCACGUCUCGAGUCCGGAAGAGGUGGGUGGAAUUCCUAGUGUAGAGGUGAAAUUCGUAGAUAUUAGGAAGAACACCGGUGGCGAAGGCGGCCCACUGGUCCGGUACUGACGCUGAGGUGCGAAAGCGUGGGGAGCAAACAGGAU
rnacentral:rRNA from 1 species